AGCUAAUUCAGUGCAAGUUGUGGUUAUUCUGUCUGUUUUUGGUGGUGUUUUACUUUGUGCUGUUAUUACAGGUUUUGUAAUAAACAGAUGGAAGUCACGUCAUUCUGGGAGGAAUGAGACAAAUGGAGAAGGAAACUACUCUGAAUCAAAUACUGUUUAUGCAGCUAUUACCAAGAGUUUGUCAGAGAAAGCAAAUGUGA